rnacentral:rRNA from 1 species
CCUACGGGAUGCAGCAGUGGGGAAUAUUGCACAAUGGGCGCAAGCCUGAUGCAGCCAUGCCGCGUGUAUGAAGAAGGCCUUCGGGUUGUAAAGUACUUUCAGCGGGGAGGAAGGCGAUAAGGUUAAUAACCUUGUCGAUUGACGUUACCCGCAGAAGAAGCACCGGCUAACUCCGUGCCAGCAGCCGCGGUAAUACGGAGGGUGCAAGCGUUAAUCGGAAUUACUGGGCGUAAAGCGCACGCAGGCGGUCUGUCAAGUCGGAUGUGAAAUCACCGGGCUCAACCUGGGAACUGCAUUCGAAACUGGCAGGCUGGAGUCUUGUAGAGGGGGGUAGAAUUCCAGGUGUAGCGGUGAAAUGCGUAGAGAUCUGGAGGAACACCAGUGGCGAAGGCGGCUUACUGGUCUGCAACUGACGCUGAGGCGCGAAAGCGUGGGGAGCAAACAGGAUUAGAUACCCGCGUAGUC